rnacentral:ncRNA from 1 species
CGGAGGCGACCGCGCCCGGACGAGACGUGCGCCGUACCCGGACCGACAAGACGACGCUCG